rnacentral:lncRNA from 1 species
UUUGGCGGGGCUUUUGUCUCUCGCUGCAGCCAGAGCUUGGGAUCGCUUUCUGCUAUUCAACGUCCUCCACCUCUGCCCCCCUCUCGCCCCAGCCGGUGACAGGCUGUUGCCCUGUGAUCUGCAGGUCCUGGGACGUGCACAGACAGCUAAGAUGCCAGGACAUUCCAGAAGGUGGGAAAGGCACCUGAGUAAUUUGACUCUCCUGCCUGGACCCAGCGUACAGAUGGGAUUGUGCUUCAUUGCUGGACCCAGCAUUUAGGCCCACUACCUAUGAGAUUGCAUGCUCCUGCCUGGGCUGUGCCCACAGUGACCUUGUGACAUAUAUCUGCAUCCAUGACCUAAAAGAUGUGACACUUCUUGCCUGCAACCUGCCCUGCACAGGAAAGAUUGCGACUUCUCCCUGGAAGCAGACACCAGGGAUCGUCACUCCCGUGGAUGAUCAAAGGCGCCUGUAAUUUCAGCUACUCCGGGGGCUGAGGCAGGAGAAUCGCUUGAACUCGGGAAGCAGAAGUUGCAGUGAGCCAAGGUCGCACCACUGCACUCCAGCCCAGGCGACAUUGUGAGACUCCAUCUCAAAAAAAAAAAAAAGAAAAAAAGUGUACUAACAAGACCCAGCACACAGAGGAGACUUUUACCAUUGUAUGAACACCCAUCAAACAGUACACAUCAUCAUUGUGAGUUCUGAAUCUCACACAUAGAGGAAGUCAAAGGUGGAAAACUUGACUCUCAUAUUUGGAUCCAGUCCACAGGUGUGAUUUUGACGCACACUUCUGCCCAGCACCUGAGUAAUGUGAUUCUUCAGAAUUGGCCCGGCCCACAAAUAGGAUUGUGCCACACUGCUGGACCCAGUGCCUAAGUGAUGUAACUCUAUUCUUCUGCCUUGGUGCUACUCGAAAAAGACAUUGUAACAUAUCUCAGAGCCUUACACCCAGGUAAUGUGAGUCUCCUCUUCUGCCUUGCUGCUGCACACAGAAGCGGAAUAUGUACAGGAUUGUUAAUCUCAUCUUGGAUCUUCCUGCACUUGUGAUUGUGACACAUGCCUCUGUGUAGAACCUGAGUGAGUUUACUCUCCUGCCUGGAUUUAACCCAUAGAUGGAAUCGUGACAUAUCACUGUACCAGAAACUAGGUGAUGUGACUCUAUUUUCUUGCCUCUGUGUUUUUAUAUGGGGCAUCGUGACAUAUCACUGGGCCUUGCACCCAAGUGAUGGGAGUUUUCUCUCCUGCUUUGGUGCCGUCCACAAUGAAAAUUGUGAAAUAUUGCUGCCCUCCCCACUAGGUUAUGUUACUCUCCUGCCUCUGCUUUGCCCACAUGGGUCACUGUGACAUAUUGCUGGGUCUAAAACCCAGGUAAUGUCACUCUCUUGUUUGGGUUCUGCCUGCAGGAGUCAUUGUCACAUAUCUCUAUGCUCAUCACCCAGGUAAUAUGAUUCCCUUUUACUGCUUAGUUCCUUCUCACAAAACAACUUGUGACAUAUUGCUAGGCCCAAUACACCUAGCUGGUGUAACUCUUCUUUUCUUUUCUUUCCUUUUUUUUUUUUUUUUUUUGAGAUGGAGUCUCACUCUGUUGCCCAGGCUGGAGUGCAGCGGCAUGAUUUCAGCUCACUACAGCCUCUGCCUCCUAGGUUGAAGCGAUUGUCCUGACUUGGCCUCCCAAGUAGCUGGGAUUAAAGGCAUGUGCCACCACGCCCGGCUAAUUUUUGUAUUUAUAGUAGAGACAGGGUUUCGCCAUGUUGGCUAGGCUGGUUUCGAACUUCUAACCUCAGGUGAUCCUCCUGCCUCGGCCUCCCAAAGUACUGGAAUUACAGGCAUGAGCCACUGCACCUGGCCUGAUUCUUCUCUUCUUUCUAGGUUUCAACUGCAGCAGAGAUUGUAACAAACCACUGGGCCCAGCCGCAUAAUGAUGUUACUCUUUUGCCUUGGGCCUGCCCUCAGAAGGCACUGUCACAUAUUCAUGGGCCCAACGCCAAGGUGAUAUGUGUCUCCAGCCUGGACCCUGCCCACAGGGGGCAUUGUGACAUAUCUCUUGGCCCAUCAGAUGUUUGAUUGUUAUCCCCUCCCCUCUUCUACCCUGUGUUUGCCUAUAAAAGACACAGUCAUAUGUUCCUGGGCCCAGCACCUAGGUGUUGUCUUACUGGAAUGUGUCCACAUGGGGAUUGUGAUAUGUCACGUGGCCCAGUACUUAACUUGAUGUGACUCUCCUCUCAUGCCUAGGCCUUGUAGAGAAUCCCCUUCCCCUUUUGUUUUCCUUUUUUUCUUUGCAGAUCCAGGAGAUAAUCAACUAAGAGCCAGGCACCCGUUUAGGUCUAAUAAACAUUUUACAAACUGCUCUCUCUUUUAAUUCACCUAUCUGAGAGAUUCCUCUGUACAAUAAAACUUGGUCUCCACAAUCCUUUACCUUAACCUAAACCUUCCCUUUCAUUGAUCCCAGGUCUUCAGAUUCCACCACUUGUCAACCACAAAAUAUUUAAAUUUACCUGGAAGCCGCCCGCUUUGAGUUGUCCCGCCUUUCUGAACCAAACCAAUAUAUUCCUGCAAAACCGGCCAUGAUUAAAACAUCAAAAAA